ACGGUCCUAAGGUAGCGAAAUUCCUUGUCGGGUAAGUUCCGACCUGCACGAAUGGCGUAAUGAUGGCCAGGCUGUCUCCACCCGAGACUCAGUGAAAUUGAACUCGCUGUGAAGAUGCAGUGUACCCGCGGCAAGACGGAAAGACCCCGUGAACCUUUACUAUAGCUUGACACUGAACAUUGAGCCUUGAUGUGUAGGAUAGGUGGGAGGCUUUGAAGCGUGGACGCCAGUCUGCGUGGAGCCAACCUUGAAAUACCACCCUUUAAUGUUUGAUGUUCUAACGUUGGCCCCUGACCGGGGUUGCGGACAGUGUCUGGUGGGUAGUUUGACUGGGGCGGUCUCCUCCCAAAGCGUAACGGAGGAGCACGAAGGUUAGCUAAUCCUGGUCGGACAUCAGGAGGUUAGUGCAAUGGCAUAAGCUAGCUUGACUGCGAGCGUGACGGCGCGAGCAGGUGCGAAAGCAGGUCAUAGUGAUCCGGUGGUUCUGAAUGGAAGGGCCAUCGCUCAACGGAUAAAAGGUACUCCGGGGAUAACAGGCUGAUACCGCCCAAGAGUUCAUAUCGACGGCGGUGUUUGGCACCUCGAUGUCGGCUCAUCACAUCCUGGGGCUGAAGUAGGUCCCAAGGGUAUGGCUGUUCGCCAUUUAAAGUGGUACGCGAGCUGGGUUUAGAACGUCGUGAGACAGUUCGGUCCCUAUCUGCCGUGGGCGCUGGAGAAUUGAGGGGGGCUGCUCCUAGUACGAGAGGACCGGAGUGGACGCAUCACUGGUGUUCGGGUUGUCAUGCCAAUGGCACUGCCCGGUAGCUAAAUGCGGAAGAGAUAAGUGCUGAAAGCAUCUAAGCACGAAACUUGCCCCGAGAUGAGUUCUCCCUGAGACUAUAAGUCUCCUGAAGGAACGUUGAAGACGACGACGUUGAUAGGCCGGGUGUGUAAGCGCAGCGAUGCGUUGAGCUAACCGGUACUAAUGAACCGUGAGGCUUAACCUU
rnacentral:rRNA from 1 species